GCCCGGGUAGCUCAAUCGGUAGAGCGUGUGGCUCUUAACCUCAAGGUCGCGGGUUCAAGCCCCGCCUCUGGCU
rnacentral:tRNA from 3 species